rnacentral:lncRNA from 1 species
AAGCAUUCUUGAUGUAUCCAUUGUGCAUAUCAACAAUUGAUAAGUCUUCCGAUAAGAUACAGUUUGAUAGAGAUACAGGAGUUGUUAUUUGCGUGGAAGGUGUUGAAUCAGACGCUAUGGCUCUAGCAAUUGCGGAGACGCAUAAUGAAUAUGCGUUGUAUAUUCCAGAAUUCGAUCUUGAUAAUCUUAUUUGUUAUAUAGCAAGAGCAUUGAUGUGAAGGUG